ACGAACGCUGGCGGCAUGCCUAACACAUGCAAGUCGAACGAGACCUUCGGGUCUAGUGGCGCACGGGUGCGUAACGCGUGGGAACCUGCCUUUAGGUUCGGAAUAACUCAGAGAAAUUUGAGCUAAUACCGGAUGAUGUCUUCGGACCAAAGAUUUAUCGCCUUUAGAUGGGCCCGCGUUGGAUUAGCUAGUUGGUGGGGUAAAGGCCUACCAAGGCGACGAUCCAUAGCUGGUCUGAGAGGAUGAUCAGCCACACUGGGACUGAGACACGGCCCAGACUCCUACGGGAGGCAGCAGUGGGGAAUAUUGGACAAUGGGAGAAAGCCUGAUCCAGCAAUGCCGCGUGAGUGAUGAAGGCCUUAGGGUUGUAAAGCUCUUUUACCCGAGAUGAUAAUGACAGUAUCGGGAGAAUAAGCUCCGGCUAACUCCGUG
rnacentral:rRNA from 1 species